rnacentral:rRNA from 1 species
CUUUGCUGGCGACCGGCGCACGGGUGAGUAACACGUAUCCAACCUGCCCUUCACUCGGGGAUAGCCUUUCGAAAGAAAGAUUAAUACCCGAUGGCAUAAUGAUUCCGCAUGGUUUCAUUAUUAAAGGAUUCCGGUAAAGGAUGGGGAUGCGUUCCAUUAGGUUGUUGGUGAGGUAACGGCCCACCAAGCCUUCGAUGGACAGGGGUUCUGAGAGGAAGGUCCCCCACAUUGGAACUGAGACACGGUCCAA